rnacentral:rRNA from 1 species
UGAUCCAGCCAUGCCGCGUGUGUGAAGAAGGUCUUCGGAUUGUAAAGCACUUUAAGUUGGGAGGAAGGGCACUAACCUAAUACGUUAGUGUUUUGACGUUACCGACAGAAUAAGCACCGGCUAACUUCGUGCCAGCAGCCGCGGUAAU